GGGGCUGCAAUAUCCAAAUCCCAGCGUAGGGGUGACAGGCUGCUGCUCAGGUUUCUCUCUCCGGAAAUCAUCACCCGGUGCUCUGAGAACCGGGGUCUGUAGGACACGCCAUUCCUGCUCCCUGUUUUAAUGUGGAAAACACUCUGGGGGCCUUGGGUCUUCUGAACCACCUGCCUGGUUGCUUCAUGCUGCUGCUUAGGGCCUUUCAGAAUGGAUUUGUAUUUAUGCUCUCACUCCCUUCUUACUGAUUUCUGCUUAACUAAACUUCCAUGCCAACAAAACAGUGGGAAGAUCCCUAGAUU
rnacentral:lncRNA from 1 species